GGGCCUGGCUUGACAGUGUGCGUGUUGUGUGUGCGUCGUCUGCGCCUUGGGUGAAAAAAACAAUUUAACCAUGUCAAUCCUGGACGACUCAUCCACCAAUCUCGCGUCCUCCUCCCCACCAAUCCCCUAUCCUCCUCCAGCCCACCAAUCCCCCGCGUCCUCCUCCCCACCAACCCUAGCCAUGCCCUCGCCGCCACCUCUCCUUCCCCCGUUCGUCCUCUCCCGCCGCCGUCACCACCCCUAUCUCUCCUCCUUUCUCCUCGACGCCAUCAACGCGAGUGGGCACUCGGUGGAUCUGGUGGUCAGUGCGGGAUGCAACAGCGCAUCUGGCCGGAGGAGAACGCGGCGGCUGCAUCUCCUGGCAAUGGUAGGGGGGGGGGAGGGGGGUGGAUGAGGAGGCGACAUCUCGGGAGGUAGGCAAGAGGAACCAGGCGGUUCUCCUUCCAUGGCGGUACCCCGACCUGUCGGAUCUUCAUCGUCAUCAGCCCGGCGGACAGUAAGGUGUUCUAUUUUUCAACGUGCUGCAGCUACCACUUUGCCACUGCCCUGACUCCUUCCUGCAGACCAUGGAUCUGUCGUCGAUGCAGAGCGUCAACAGGGUGGAGGUUUGCCGCCCUAGCAGACUCGUGUGUUGUUGCCGCCGCAAUCCUUCUCUUUGUUGGAGUCUUCCUCCUCUGGAGAGAAAAAAAUUGGUCUCUUUGACACGCUUGGGAUCGACGGAUCGUUCAUGCCAUGGUUGGAUUUGAAUGGGGCAGUGUCUAUCCAAAAUUUGUUUGGUUGACUGGACAAUUUGUUUGUUUGGUUGUCUUAAUGUAACCCGAUUCGCAUAAUUUUGAAAACAUCAGCAAAGAUUUCAGUGGCUGGGAGUGUUUGCCAGAGUGGAAACGAAGCAUUUGCUGGAAGGAGCUCAAGAUUUCGCUAUUACCCUGCUGAUAGUUUUGUGAGCAACCAUGUUGACAAGCUGGCAUCUCUUUGUUCUAUUCUAUUGACUUCUUGUGGCAUUAUGUAUGAAGCCCUUUAAGCACAAACCUUUCGACGCAAGGACUGUCAUGGGAUUUGGAGUGCUCAAUGGCAUCUUAAUUGGACUUCUCAACCAGAGUCUAGGUUUCAACUCUGUUGGUUUCUAUCAGAGCAAGUCGAGCGCAUUAGUUGGAUCCAGCUUCUUGAUAUUGCAGAGGACUCGUCAAAAGAUAUACAGGGUUCUCGGCUGGCUGCGAAGAUUUGACAAGAGGCACAAGUAAAAUAGAUCAUCUCUUGUGACUCUCAAGAUAUGUAUCCAGAGGGCAAGUCAGGUCUCGAAAUGCUGACUGAAUAUUCCAUGGCCUUUGUUUUUCUUGCUAGGUGGAUUACUACUUCCUUGGAUAUUUUCAGAAAAUAAAUGAAAUGUGCAGACCGACAACAUGGACGGCAGGUCUUGCGGCUCCCAGCGCCCUCAACCCCCCACUGACCCUCUCUCAAUUUUGAUCUCUCCUCUACUCUUCUGGGUGGCGGUGAGAGCGGGUGUGAAACAGUAGAGGCGGGAGAGGCGGCCAUAGGAAGUAUAUGAUAGGAAAAGAAUUGCUCUAUGGCAGUGCUUUGACUCGGUGACCAGAGACUGACUGAGUGUGCUUGCAGUUUGAGGUUGAUUUUUUCUGGUAUACAUAUAAUUGGAGGUAGGCGCCAUGGACGCCGCUCUUGUGCUCAUCAAGGUCUGCUGCUCCUUGUUCCAGUCCCAUGACAAGCAGCAGCAGUAGCAUCAUGGUUGGGUUGGAGCUACAGUGGCCAGCCACCGGGACGACACUGAUAGCCAAAGAAAGCUCCUUCCCCACCGCUGACAGCCAAAACCACUCUUGUGCUCAUCAAGGUCCCUUUCACCUCUCUAACCUCUGUGUUAAGUCUGUCUGGUUCUAGGCCGAUUCAGGUUUUUUGUUUUGUUUUUGCUUCCACUCUGUUUGAUUUAAGCGUGGUGGUCAGAUCCUCUUCAGAUGUCCAGUUGAGACACCUACCCAUUUCUUCUCUUUUUAUCUCUUCGGAGGAGAGGAUAGGAUGCUAACUAGCGAAGUACUAUACUACUACUACAUUUCAAACCAUAAUAAGGUCCUUCGGUAAAAACAAAACAAGAUUUGCAGCGUCACAGUAGCAAAAUUCCAGCAUCCACUAGCCACACAAAAAAGUAUGUAUCCAGUGAUAAUAUAACGAGAGAGGAAUUCAAGGAUUAGUUUAUUAUUAACCUAUGUAGUGUAUGCACUGGUAGUUGAUGGAGUUUCAAGCAGCAAGCAUGGAGCACCUUCUUCUUUCUAUCAUGUCACUUACCUGAUAAUUUUGGUAAUUCUCUCCGUAAUGUCAUUCAUAUACCUGAUAAAGCCAAUCUCUUUGGGGCUCUCUGUCAUUCAUAUGUUCAGUGAUGCAAUCUGAAUUAUUAUGUAGAGGUUACUCCAGUCCUCACUAUUCUUCUAUUUGUCCCUGUUUAGUGUUUUACUUUUUUUUAUCAGCAGCACAAUAGAUAACCAUAUCUACAUUUGUCUCUAUUUUCUGUCAGGUUAGGCAACAGGAUGGCAGUCACAGGAGCCAUUGCAUUUUCUUUGUCGCAAUGGCAUUAGGUAGUUGUACCUACUGCGGUUGUUACACUAAUAUCUAUUUAUUACAUGUUGCUAUAGUUACAAAGCUUCAACAGCUUACUAUAAAUUAGACUGGUUUGAUUCCUAGAUAUUAUUGUAUUUUACCCGUAGGAUCAAUUUCCAAUGAGUUGGUGCCUAGGGUCUUGUGGGGAGCACAUUUUCUUUAGCUGCUGCCAUUUAUUCUGCGGCUUUCGUACAACCUAGCACUCUUCUGUGGUGGGCAUAUGUUAUUUUGUACCAAUGAUAGAUACAGAAAGUGCAAGACUUCUACUCUCUACUUAAUGAACUGAUUUUGCUUCAGGAUAACUAGCUUGAUUAAUUAGCAUGUUUCUGUGAUCAAUGAAUUACUAAGGUUGUGACCCCAGCUUGGAGGCUUGAGUUCCUUCCGUAGUUCUUUAUUUUACUUAAAUGAUCAUGAACCCUUUACUUAACAUAUGUCCUUUUGUACCUUAGCAAAGGGUCUCGCCACCGCGCGCAGUCCACCUCUCCCCGCAGGCAUGCCGGCCACCUCCCCACCUGACGCACAUCUUUCCCAUGGGGCCAUGGAACACGGUGAGCAGCAGUGGCUGUGUCACUUGUAUUGAGCACACCAAUCUGCCUCGGUAGACGGCUGCUGAAGUUGACCCACAGGUUGGAGACAAAGAUAGUGUGACAAUUGACUGACCUUGACAUGUUUGAGAAUUAGGCAAUUGAUUGUGCCAUUUCUCUGCGCAUUGGUACUUACUUUUAAAACCGGUAGAUUUUAAGAAAUAUUUCCGAUGCAUUAUAGAAUGCCACCAAAACAGAAUAACUCUCCUGCCUAUUUCCAUUUAUUCUUAACAUUGCUUGUUUUUCCUUAUGAUGCUACACUAGACUGCAGUUUUUGUUGUCACUGCAAUGAUGUAUUUUUUGAUUCCAUCUGCUGUCGACGCAAUGCACAGAGGGUUCAACAACUGAAUAUUGUUAUGCUAACACAUGUUUAGUUGGUGUGUGUUUUGUCAGAUAAAAUGCAUGUUUCUCAGGAGACACAUACUGUAGUUAAUUCCGAAGGAGAAUAGCAACCUUUGCUUCUGCUAGAUACGUACUUAAAUUUAUUGAUAUUCAACUAUUUUUGUUGUUUCGGUUUAGUUCCAUCCAAGGCCACCAGUUGGUUAUAAGUACUUCCAAAUAGUGAUCACCCAAUCUUCUGUAGUAUGUAUAUACUGAUGGUAGUUUCUUCCACCGAAUAUGUGAACCUGGAGAAGACUCACUAUGAAGGUCUCCUGACAACUAAAGUUUUACCUGCUAUUAAAACGGUCGAAACAGAGUAUGCAGAUCUUCAGUAGCUUCGACAGAUUUUUUUUGAACUACGAUUGUUUCUGUAUGCUUCUUCUCUAAGAGAAAAUUGUGUUCUAUUGUAGUUACAGUCAGUGGGGGCCUGAAAAUUCACAUCACCAAAAGAAUUGUAGAAUUUGAUAAGAGAACAUUUUCUUAAUAAGUAAAUAAGACGCAAUUACAGUGUGUAACAUUCUGAUGAAUGAACCUGCUGCAAGAGGCAAGUGACGAUGCUUGAUUUUAUUAAUUGUCAGGAUGAAAUAUAAAGUAGUAAGGUAAGUGUGAGCGUUCACCUAAUUUGUUUUUUACCUAUUAAAUGGCCAGUUGGCGACGUACUGUCAACUUGGUACAUUCAACAUGCGUGUUCAGGUUUUAGGAUGAAAUUUAAUCCAAGAUCAUUACUUUAUGUUUUCCUACGGAUAUGUUGGCAUCUUUGACUUUGAUAUGUUCGUUGCACUCUAUUGGGCCUACUUUUGACCCAAGUACAUUGCCAUGCAGUCGUGUGAAAAAGUAUUGGGCUUGCAGUGAAAGAAGUUCCGGCCUUUUGAAGCAACAAUUGACAUGGUUGUACAUACAAGUUUCUUUCUUGGAUGUCUAUUAUUUGUUUUUCUGCUAGCUUUGAUUUCUCUUUUUGGUCAGUUGAAACGGUUAGUCUUGAUAGGUCGACCACUUAUAUUGUUUCGAAGGUUCAAUAAGCAUAUGGUAAAGAAAGGUAUCAAUAGAUUCACCAAUGUAGAUUACAAGAGUAAAGGUUUAUCUAAUGAGGCCUUGUCGCGGCGCUGCAAGUGUUGCCCCCCUCCUCCCCAAGGGCUAGGUGAAGGAGGGUGCAUGUGUGGUUCUUCUGCAGCUCGCAGCGAGGAUUCUUGUGUCCAACCUGCACAAGAAUGCCAAGAAGUCCUUCUCGGAGAUGAUUAAGGACAUGUACCUGCACUACAACGAGAGAUCUUGGCUGCUUUUUUGUGGCUUCCAAACUUGAAAUGUUUGUUUGGAAGUUAGUUUAGUUUUUUGUUGUGGAUUCACAGCUUCUCA